GGGAGGAGUUACAGUCCAGGACUGAACUGUUACAGUCAGUCCAGUUCUUCCCUAGAGGCCUCGGAAGAAGGUCUGAUCAGCAGCAACUGCUGGGCUAGGAGUUCCUUACCUAGAAAUUCAUCACUGGAGGGCACUAUGAACUUUACUGCUGCAAUGAUAGCUGUCUCAGUGUUCCAUGAAGAUGAUCCUAAAGAAGAUCAAGACCAAAUUAUUGCAUGAGAUCAAGACCAAAUUGUUUCUUCAGAAGCAACUGAGGGAAUUGUCUAUUUGAAUAGUUCUCUGGAGCCCAAGAAAAUUCAAGACAUGGACCAAGAGGAAACUUUGGAGCUAAUUUCCCCAAAUCAAGUAAAAGCAUAGUAACUGAGCAUGAUGAUAUACACUUGUCUGGGCAGGUGUGGUAACAAAGAAGGCAUGUACUGUAAAUCACAUGGCUUACACAAAAAUCCCUUCAAGGCAACAAUGCACAAAACUAGCACAAAUCUCUGCAUGAGUUUUUUGGGGGAGAUAUGACGAUUUAAGUUCUUGGAGCUGUUAACUAGGGACCCCAACAUGAGAUGUGUGCAGUAUACCCUUAAAAGAGGUGGCACAACAGCUGGGGUUUGGGGCACAAAAUGGUGAAGUGAUAAGGAAACUUCUACCACACGUUAGGUGGAGAGGUGAGGUGAAAUAUGCAGGGGAAAUGGUAGUUUCCAAAACCACCUAGAGAGCCACAAAGUGGUUUGAGGAAGGAUGGAAAUGCAGAAUUAGGAUUGCUCUUGAAUUUUAUCUAAACUGACAUCUGAAGGUGAAUUAGGAGCUUGGUGCUCAGACAAACUUAAGGAAUUGAGCUGGACUAGGAGGGAAAAUGUCACUGGGGAUCUCCUGCACAUCCUUGUCCCCUGCCAACUGAGCAAAGAGGCACCUUUUAAAGUGAUAAUGCUCUUAUACUUAGCAGGGUUAGAGCAACUGUCCCUGUUCAACUCCAGUACAGCAUCCCUUCAGUACUUGAUGCUGCUGUCUACUUUGGUUUCUUUUAAGAUUGUGAGCCCUUUGGGGAUAUAGAAUCAUCUUUCUCUCUGCAAAUUGCUUUGAGAACAUUUUGUUUUAAAGCGAUAUGUACAUAUUUGUAGUAAUAGUAAUAAUAAUAGAAAACAAUAGGAUUUGCCUAGAAAUCAAGAGAAAAGAAACAUAUCUAAUGUACAAUUGACUGGUAUUUGGCCCAUUACACUAUUCAGCAGACUGAUUUAGCUCUAUGUCCUCCAGGGAAGAACUGCCACAAUUGUGAUUAUUAACCUUCACCUGCCAAAUCAUAUGAUUAAAGAACCAGACAAAUACAUGGAAACCCCUUCCCUGGAAAGCAGAUUCUAAGAAACAAUAAUCCAGAAGCAUGUAACAUUCUCAAACAGACCAUUGCCAGGAUUUAAGAUAUUAUGGAUUUUCUGGUUACAAUUAGUUACGCAGAACAGAUCAUGUACACAUCUUUAUCAAUCAUCCAGUAAUUACAAAGACUUCAUGAAGAAUUGCCACGAUGCAACCUAGAGAUGUGCCCUCUACCUGUACUUUGAAGAUUUCACAGGAGAUGAAAACCAGUUGAAGUUGGAAGAAGAUUCCUACUCCUCCCAAGUCUACUACAUCCUGACUGCCUCCUGCUCUCCAAUUUACUCUCUAGAGGACGUGAGUAGGACUGGGGUGCUCAGAAUGUCUUAUCCAUCCCGAAACUUGCCAGGUCCUCAUGCAAGCAAGAUGGAAAGACAACACAAUAAGAAUAAUAGAGUUGAAAAGUAAUACCAAUAAAGUAGGUUCGUUGCAGCAAA